rnacentral:rRNA from 1 species
UGAUUAAUAUUGAAGGGCUGCAGUAUAUUGACUGUACAAAGGUAGCAUAAUCAUUAGUCAUUUAAUUGAUGACUUGUAUGAAAGAUUGGAUGAAAUAUAUACUGUCUCUUAAUUAAAUAUAGAAUUUAAUUUUUUAAUUAAAAAGUUAAAAUAAAUUAAAAAGACGAGAAGACCCUAUAGAGUUUUAUAAAUAUUUUGAUUAAGAUUAUUUAAAUAUUUUAAAAUUAAAAUUAAUUUAUUUAUUUUGUUGGGGUGACAAAAAAAUAUAAAUAACUUUUUUUAUUUUUAAAACAUUUAUAAGUGAUUAAUUGAUCCAAUAUUAUUGAUUAUAAGAAAAAAUUACCUUAGGGAUAACAGCGUAAUUUUUUUUUUUAGUUCAAAUAAGAAAAAGAGUUUGCGACCUCGAUGUUGGAUUAAGAUAAAAUUUAAAUGCAGAAG